CUUCCGGUAGCGCCGGCACGCGGCGUCAUCACACGCAGACGUGUGAUGGGGCUUUCGCAGAGGGACUGGCGGUUUUCGGACUCAGCCCAGGCGGCGGGUCUUAGUUCUGGAAACAGGAGUACUAAAUGUCUUGUGUUCACUAUUGGUACUGCGGGAGCAGGCGGCGCUGGGCGCGGUUAUGUGGAAGGCUGAGUGAUUGCCGCUACUCUAAUCCCACCGGCUUCCUUGGUUCCUCUGUGAGAGCAAAUAUCCCCUUUUGGAAAUUACUCGACCUCAUCUCUGCGACGAGGGAUCUACGGCCCCGACAGCUCCCCUAGUGGGAGCUGGAGUGUGCGUCCUGCAGGAGUUGGAGCUGGCCGGGCUUCGUAAACUCCUUCACUUUUCCUUGUCACCUCUUAGGGCCAUUUCUAGUUUUUCUGAGCUGGUCUGUUGGAAUCGCGGGGCCUUUCAGAGCUGGACGAUGCUUGAGGUCAUCCUCUUUUAAAAUAAAAAUUUAAGUUCCAGGCAAAAAGUGCCACUUAGGGGAGGAGGGUGGUUGGAGAAGUGCGGUCACUGUCCUGAGCACAUCGCUGGGACCAGAAGAUCGUUAGACAAAGACCAGGAAGACAGGAGAGGUCCCUGGUAGGAGACGUUCUGAUGGUUACUCCCGCAUGGUGUCAGCAAUGAGGGGAACUGUGGUGGGGAAUUCAGGUGAGGGCCCGCAGCAAAUUCGGUUACAGCCGCUUUCCCCUUUCAAGCAUGGUGCCUCAGCUGCAGGGACUCCCUCCACCACGGGACCUAACUAGUGAUGGGCACCCUAGCAGCAGCCAGGAGGCACAAGCCAAAGAGAGAAGCAGCUGACAUGUGGUUGAGGAUCAGACAGGACAGGAAAAGUACUUAGAAUAGUCAGCACAAUCUCAUACCUGAAAUGUGACAAGUUUUAAGUGGGCAUAUGACCACCCACUACAGACCCCAUCCUCCCACCUGUCUGGUUUAUGAUUAUGGCCAAUAAGAAUCGAGUCAAAGGAAUGUGUGUCACUUAGAUGAAGCCAUGACAAAAAUAUAAUCCCUUGCCCUUUUCCUUUCUCUGCUGAGAGGUGUCCAUGGGAUCAGCCAACCUGAAUUCAGAAAUGGAAGUAUUGUGAAGAUGCCAGAGUUCCCCCCCUCCCAGCUCUGGAAAACUGAGCUCUGCAAAAUGAGAAAAAUAAAAACAUGUCUUGUUAAGGCCUCUGCAUUUGGGGGUCUUUUGUUCAAGCAGCUUCACUUUUACCUUAAAUAGCUGAUCUGAAACAAGCAGGGUCAUUCCUCACUCAAAUGAGGCCUUCUCAACAUGUCCAUACCACCUUUAUCCAUUACGUCCCUGACUCUAGGAUGCAGAGAUCACAUAUUAGCAGGAUUCAAGAGGUGUUAGCUAUGUUGUCCUAGCAUCUGCUCCCCCUACCCACUUAUCUCAGUUCCAUUUGGGGAGCCCUCUGGUUGUGGGGAAGGCAACUGCAUCCCCAGCUUUAAGUAUGGAUCAAGCACUAGAUUAAGCUAAUCCAUCCAUCCAGUCUCCCUAGGCAUAGUGACUGGUGGGUUUAAGACCCAAGCUGACCUAGUCAGAAUGAGUCUUGAGAUCUGCUUGCAAUGCUGGAGAAAAUAGAUCCUGCUGGAUGUCAGACAAAAGGCAAUACCAACUGUCAGCCACUUUAGAGCUCAGGAGACAAGAUUUAGUGUUUGGUGACAUCAUUGGGUGGAUGAGAAUAAGGCCUUGCCUCCGGCCCACUUAAAUCUUUAGUUAUGUGAAGAU
rnacentral:lncRNA from 1 species